GACGAACGCUGGCGGCGUGCUUAACACAUGCAAGUCGAACGGAAAGGCCCUGCUUUUGUGGGGUGCUCGAGUGGCGAACGGGUGAGUAACACGUGAGUAACCUGCCCUUGACUUUAGGAUAACUUCAGGAAACUGGGGCUAAUACCGGAUAGGAGCUCCUGCUGCAUGGUGGGGGUUGGAAAGUUUCGGCGGUUGGGGAUGGACUCGCGGCUUAUCAGCUUGUUGGUGGGGUAGUGGCUUACCAAGGCUUUGACGGGUAGCCGGCCUGAGAGGGUGACCGGCCACAUUGGGACUGAGAUACGGCCCAGACUCCUACGGGAGGCAGCAGUGGGGAAUAGUGCACAAUGGGCGGAAGCCUGAUGCAGCAACGCCGCGUGCGGGAUGACGGCCUUCGGGUUGUAGACCGCUUUCGCCUGUGACGAAGCGUGAGUGACGGUAAUGGGUAAAGAAGCACCGGCUAACUACGUG
rnacentral:rRNA from 1 species